rfam:Felis catus isolate Cinnamon breed Abyssinian chromosome B2, whole genome shotgun sequence.
ACCCGGGUGGCUCAGUUGGUUGAGCGUCUGACUUAGGCUCAGGUCAUGAUCUCGUAGUCUGUGAGUUCGAGCCCCACGUCGGGCU